ensembl:ncRNA R153.3 ncRNA
AAGAGAGUUGACGAAAUAAGUGUUAGCGGAGAGUUUUGGAAGGCGAAGUGGGGUGGCUCUGCGGCCAUUAGACGAAACGCUGAAGAAAGGAGGAAAUGCUCCGCGAGCCACGAAGCGACUCACGCGUUCCGGUCGUAGA